ACUCCAAUAUGUCACUAGUAGAAAUCUGUGAACAACAAAAUAGUACUAGAGUUCCUUGGAAAGUGGAAACCAAAACCAAAAGCAACGCACAGCUUUGACUUGUUCUUUUGUCCACGUGAACGCAAGGAAACAAAUCUGCAAUCAAUUCGUUCUCGCCUUUUUUUUGACCGGAUCAAAAACUCCAAUACUUAUCCCUUUUGGAAAAGGAAACAACCCUGCUAUAAUCACGUCCCAAAGGCUAUCAGAUUUGCACCUUUUUUGCGGUCAACCUUCCUGUUGAAAACACCGCGAAUUUACUUCAUGCCUUCCUAUGGAAACUUAUCCCAAUAAAUAUUCUUGACCGAAUCUAGCUUUCCAAAACAUCAGCAAAUUUUUUUUGGCGCUGGUCUCUUUCCAAAGGUAAGGUCGAACCCUUUAUAUACUCCUCCGUUUUCUCUUUCCUUCUCUCUUUUUACUUUCCUUCUUUUUUCUUCUCUCCCGGACGUAUCUCACUUUCUAAAACAACAAAAAUACUACUCUGCAGCAAACCUUCCAAAUAAAGGACACACUGAUCUCGCGUACAGAUUUUUGUUGAUGCAAACGGUGGGUGGAGCGAUUCUGAUUCCUUUCCCAAACUCUCUCUCUCUUCUUGCCUUUUCUUUCUCUCUUUCCAAAAAAACAAAACCGACUAGCACUUUCCAAACCAAAACUGCCAAACAAUCGGAGCAACUUUAUUGACAGAAUCUUCCAACCAAAUCAAUUUGUUUUGCCUUCCAAACAAAGUACUCCAAUUGAUUACUUGCCUUAGGUAAGGGCAACUCGAGAUAUUGGCCCCUGCUCGGGCGACUCGGGGGUCCAAACCCUAGCGCCGCCACCUUCUUUUCCCCUCCCUUCCCCCUCGCCGCCGCCUGAGGCCAAGCCCGGGGCGCCGCCGAGGAAGGUGGCGGCGGGGCCCUGGCUGCCCUGCCUCUUCUGCGGGGGGCCGAGGUCCUCGGGGCGGCGGCCCUGUCGGAGAGACGUCACCGGCCCUGCGACAGGCGGUGGCAGGGGCGUGGGGCGGCGAACCUGGCCGUGUGGACGGCAGAUGAACUGGAGGACGGGUGGCAUGGUGCAGCGGCAGAUCGGCAGCGCCAGAUCUGGCCGCCCCUGCCUCCCCUGUUUGGCGAGCUCCUCCCCGGCCGGAUCCGGCCUGCUCCUCUGCGGGCCGCCAGGUCUCGCGCCGUUGGGGUAAGGGUGGCGGGGAUUCGAAGACCGGGAGAAAUCCUAGGCCGGCCUCGCCGGUCUUGGCAGCGGCGAUGCUCGAGGGCGCCGUUCCCCUCCUUGGAGGCGCCGUUCAGGUAACAGCAGACGUGCAAGUUGGCAGAACAUGGAUCUCUUUCCUUGUGUGCCUAGGAGAAGAAUUCUCUUUUUUACUUUUGCUGAUCCACACGUCCUCUUCUAUUCUAUAUCUAUACCUACUAUUAAAGGGGAUAGAUAUUUUUGGUUUGGUUUUACUUUAUUUCAUCCUGUUAUAAGACUUUUGUCCCUUUAAGGAAAAUCAAAAAUCAAACGUAGAAAUCAAGGAAUCGGGACGUACACUUAAAACUAAACCGGGCUGGUCGGCCGGCCCAUA